rnacentral:rRNA from 1 species
AUUGAACGCUGGCGGCAUGCUUUACACAUGCAAGUCGAACGGUAACAGGCCUUCGGGUGCUGACGAGUGGCGAACGGGUGAGUAAUGCAUCGGAACGUACCCAGAGGUGGGGGAUAACGCAGCGAAAGCUGUGCUAAUACCGCAUGUGAUCUGAGGAUGAAAGCGGGGGACCGAGCAGCAAUGUUUGGCCUCGCGCCUUUGGAGCGGCCGAUGUCGGAUUAGCUAGUUGGUGGGGUAAAGGCCUACCAAGGCGACGAUCCGUAGCUGGUCUGAGAGGACGAACAGCCAAACUGGGACUGAGACACGGCCCAGACUCCUACGGGAGGCAGCAGUGGGGAAUUUUGGACAAUGGGCGCAAGCCUGAUCCAGCAAUGCCGCGUGCGGGAAGAAGGCCUUCGGGUUGUAAACCGCUUUUGGCAGGAACGAAACGGUGUCCGCUAAUACCGGGCGCUAAUGACGGUACCUGCAGAAUAAGCACCGGCUAACUACGUG